rnacentral:rRNA from 1 species
UGGGGAAUAUUGCACAAUGGGCGCAAGCCUGAUGCAGCCAUGCCGCGUGUAUGAAGAAGGCCUUCGGGUUGUAAAGUACUUUCAGCGGGGAGGAAGGCGAUAAGGUUAAUAACCUUGUCGAUUGACGUUACCCGCAGAAGAAGCACCGGCUAACUCCGUGCCAGCAGCCGCGGUAAUCCGGAGGGUCCAAGCGUUAAUCGGAAUUACUGGGCGUAAAGCGCACGCAGGCGGUCUGUCAAGUCGGAUGUGAAAUCCCCGGGCUCAACCUGGGAACUGCAUUCGAAACUGGCAGGCUAGAGUCUUGUAGAGGUGGGUAGAAUUCCAGGUGUAGCGGUGAAAUGCGUAGAGAUCUGGAGGAAUACCGGUGGCGAAGGCGGCCCCCUGGACAAAGACUGACGCUCAGGUGCGAAAGCGUGGGGAGCAAACA